rnacentral:rRNA from 1 species
CACGUAGGGCGCAAGCGUUGUCCGGAAUUAUUGGGCGUAAAGGGCUCGUAGGCGGUCUGUCACGUCGAAAGUGAAAACUCAGGGCUUAACCCUGAGCCUGCUUCCGAUACGGGCAGACUAGAGGUAUGCAGGGGAGAAUGGAAUUCCUGGUGUAGCGGUGAAAUGCGCAGAUAUCAGGAGGAACACCAGUGGCGAAGGCGGUUCUCUGGGCAUUACCUGACGCUGAGGAGCGAAAGUGUGGGGAGCGAACAGG